ensembl:lncRNA
GUCGUGUUGGCUGCCUGCUGGGGAGUGAGGAGAUCUGCUUUCACUCCGCUGCCCCACAUAUUUCCUGCUGGCUGGACGCCUUGUGAUUCUGCGAGUAGACACGCCUGCCGUAGUUCGACAUCAUAAGAGGCUUCAAACUGGCGGAUCCACAGCUGAGGAAACACCAUGUUUUUUGGGGUGAUGUGCUCGUGUGACACCGUCGACCCCCCCCCUCCCGUGAACUCAAGUAGGGCUGAGAUGUCAGACGCGGCGGGUGAUCAGUGCGGUUACGUUGUCCAGCCGCUUCACGCCAGCAUAGAACUGUCAUUUGUGGGUGCGCGUCUACGUCCUCUCUGGAGAGCGGAGGAGGCGCCAAGGGAGUCGCAGUGACUCACGCUGUGGGAGAGAAGGGGAGUGAGGGACAGAGGGAAAGUGCCCACAUCAUCCCCCUCCGUCAUUACAGCCCACACCACCCACAGAAACUAAAGAGCGCAUUCACACAGAGAACACACACACACACACAUGGCAGCAUAUGAAAGAGGUAGCCUCCACAUCAGUGUGUCAGAGAGGCUUAUCCAUAAUGGGCAAGGCAGGCUGCAGCAGUGAAUCAAGCACUUAUUCAGAGAAGCCCUCCUGUAUAAUACAGUGCUCACAAUUAGAGUAGACAUUCACAGAAAAUGGUUAAAAGCUGCAAAUUAUCAUGUUUCGGUCGACACACGACUGGCGCUUUCUCGCGGUCACAGCUUGAUACAUUU